UACGUAGGGUCCGAGCGUUGUCCGGAAUUAUUGGGCGUAAAGAGCGUGUAGGCGGUCCGGUAAGUCAGCUGUGAAAGUCAAAGGCUCAACCUUUGAACGCCGAUGGAUACUGCCGGGCUAGAGUCCGGAAGAGGCGAGUGGAAUUCCUGGUGUAGCGGUGGAAUGCGCAGAUAUCAGGAGGAACACCAAUAGCGAAGGCAGCUCGCUGGGACGGUACUGACGCUGAGGCGCGAAAGCGUGGGGAGCGAACAGG
rnacentral:rRNA from 1 species